GAUUACCUUCUCAAGUUAGGCAGACCCUGAAGUACGUUCAAUAAUUGAUAGUGAGAAGAAUCGUCAGUUUAACAGCUUGGAGCUCAUUGCUUCAGAGAAUUUUACAUCUCGCGCAGUGAUGGAAGCUGUGGGUUCUUGUCUCACAAACAAAUAUUCAGAAGGGCUUUCUGGUAAAAGGUAUUAUGGUGGCAAUGAGUACAUUGAUGAGCUAGAGACACUUUGUCAACAAAGGGCUUUUUUCAUGUAACUGGCACAAGGUCUGGAUCUUCCUCAUGGAGGUCACUUGUCACAUGGAUUUAUGACUCCUAAAAGACGGGUAUCUGGGACUUCGAUUUAUUUUGAAUCGAUGCCCUACCGUCUUGAUGAAUCAACAGGCCUUAUUGAUUAUGAUAUGCUUGAGAAAACUGCCACCCUCUU